AAAACUUAUUUUUAUCAUUAUUAUUCAUGACAGCGAUGUUCAUUUUGUUCAACCGCUAGCUUUAUACAGAAAAUCGCCGACAAAUAUUGUAUAAAUUCGAGUAAAGUCGUAUCUGAUAGACAAAAACAACAUUGUAAAACAUAACAAUGGCGGCCGUGAAGACAAUAUCGGACCCGAUUCCGGAAGCGGAUAAGGGUAAUUCCGGGUUUGGCGAUCAUUUACAAAAUAAAUCCAUGCAGGUGAAAAAAUACAUCUAUGCAUGGUAAAAAAGAAAGAAAAAGCAGAAAAAUAUUUUAUUCAGAAACUCAAAAUUACUUUUUGACAAAUUUUAAUUUAAAAAUCCAAUACAACGUGACAGCUGGGAACAGUAUAUCUAACAAUAUACAUGUUCAUGGUCACAGUCUAAAUUUUCUUUAUAAAUGAUAAAUGAUGAUAAUGCAUGUGAGAUGCUUUUAAAGUGUAAACAUAUUACUGCAAUUUCGAAGGGUUAUUUGUUUUUCUCAAUUUUGAAGGGUCAAUUAAAGUAGCUGAAAGUUUCUUUCUUUAUUUUCACAAAUAAUGCAACUAUAUUAUAUAUACCUUAAUGUAAGUAAAUCAUAUGAUAUAUAGGUGUCAUUCUUUGGGCCACUCUACCCCCUCCUGUUUGAUAACUUGGAAACGGUCGAGCUCCCCACCCCUAAACCAUAUGAGGGGCAGAUCCAGGAUUUUAGGUUAAGAGGGGCGCAAACUUAAAUUUUCGCCGAGCAGAGUGAAGCUAAAAUAAAUUUGAGGUAAAAUUAUCGGAAUAUUCUUUAUUAAGCUGAGAAUAACCCAUGCUUUGCAAAUUUAAGGGGGUGCAAGCCCGCAACCCUCCCCCGUCUGAAUCCGCCCCUGCAUAUAUUCAAGUAUAGGACAAUAUAAUAAAUAAAAAAUGAAAUAUAGGGGGAGUCCCUGGAGUUACCCCACCCCCUCCUGUUUGAGAACUUGGAAGCGGUCGAGAUCCACACCCCUUAACCAUAUAUAUUCAUGUUUGUGACAAUAUGAAAAAUCAAAUGAAAUAUAGGAAGAGUCGCUGGGGUCACCCCACCCCUCCUGUUUUAGAAUUUAAAAAUGGUCGAGAUCCCCACCAUUAAACCAUAUAUAUUCAUGUAUGGGACAAUAAUAUUAUAACAAAUCAGAUGAAAUAUAGGGGGAGUCCCUUGGGUCACCCCACCCCUCCUGUUUGAGAAUUUGAAACCCGUUGAGAUUGCCACCCUUUAACCAUAUAUAUUCAUGUACGGGACAAUAUAACAAUUCAAAUGAAAGAUAGGGGGAGUCCCUGAGGUCACUGUUCACCCUCCUGUUUGAGAACUUGGAAAUGGUUAAGAUCCUUACCCCUAAACCAUAUAACUCAUGUACGGGACAAUAUAACAAAUCAAAUGAAAUAUAGGGGAAGUCCCUGUGGUCACCCCAACCCUCCUGUUUGAGAACUUGGAAACGGUCGUGAUCCCCACACCAAAACAAUAUAUAUUCAUGUAUGGGCCAAUAUAACUAAUUAAAUGAAAUAUAGGGGGAGUCCCUGGGGUCACCCUACCCCUCCUGUUUGAGAACUUGGAAACCAAUGAGAUCCCCACCCCUAAACCAUAUAUAUUCAUGUAUGGGACAAUAUAACAAAUAAAAUGAAAUGAAGGGGAAGUCCCUAGGGUCACCCUACCCCCAGUGGCGGAUCCAGAAAUUUUCAUAAGUGGGGCCCACUGACUGACCUAAAAGGGGCCUGCUCCAGUCACGCUUCAGUGAUUCCCUAUAUAAGCAACCAAUUUUUUUCCCAAAAAGGGGGGGGGCCCCCUGCCCCCCUAAAUCCUCUGCCUACCCCUACCUGUUUGAGAACUUGAAAACCGUUGAGAUCCCCACCCUAAAUUAUAUAAUUCAUAUGUAUGGGACAAAACAACAAAUCAUUUACAUUUACUAUGGGCAGGUCAGUCAGACCUCACCUUUGAUCCCUGUUGUAGUGAACAUUUGUCUGAUUCGUGUCUCAUAACUUUUGUACUAUAGAACACAAACUCAGUUUUCUUUCCAGGGAAACGGGUUGCCUUGGUUUUUGGUUAACUGCCUUCAGCGCUUACAGCGCUUUGAUUUUU
rnacentral:lncRNA from 1 species